rnacentral:ncRNA from 2 species
GUAUAAUAAUUGAAUUACCCUCAUAUAUGUUCGAUAAUAUGGUUCGAAUGUCUCUACCGAGUUGCCGUAAAUAACUUGACUAUGAAGGUGGAUGAACGGUAU